rnacentral:rRNA from 1 species
UACGUAGGGUGCGAGCGUUGUCCGGAAUUAUUGGGCGUAAAGAGCUCGUAGGCGGUCUGUCACGUCGGAUGUGAAAGCCCGGGGCUUAACCCCGGGUCUGCAUUCGAUACGGGCAGACUAGAGUGUGGUAGGGGAGAUCGGAAUUCCUGGUGUAGCGGUGAAAUGCGCAGAUAUCAGGAGGAACACCGGUGGCGAAGGCGGAUCUCUGGGCCAUUACUGACGCUGAGGAGCGAAAGCGUGGGGAGCGAACAGG